rnacentral:rRNA from 1 species
AAUAAAUAUAAUUAUAAUUAUAGAAGAGAUUAAAUGAUAAAUCAUUAAAUUUAAAAGAUUUGGCGGUAUUUAAUAUUUAGAGGAACCUGUGUAGUAAUUGAUGAUCCACGAUAAGAUAUACUUAAUUUUAAUUAUUUAUGUAUUGCUGUUUUUAGUAUUUAAUUAAGUUAGAUAUAAAUAUAAUUUAUUAUUUAAUUAAUAAAAUAAUUCAAGUCAAAAUGUAGUUUAGUUAAGAUAGUAUGGGUUACAAUUAAUUUUAUUAAUGGAUUAAUAAAUUUAAUUUUAUUAUGAAAAUGGAUUUAAAAGUAAAUUUAAUUAAUUAAUUAAAUUGAAUAUUAAAAUAAAUAUGU